CUUAAUCUAAUCCUUUCAAGUUGAGAUGAGAUUGAAGGGCAAAGAGGUCAAGUAACUUGUUAAAUAUUAAAACAAGUAGUAAGCUAAAGACUCAAAAUAUGAACAAAUCUGCUCAUUCCCAUUUUGGUGCUUUUUUUCUAUAGGAAACAGCUAGAUGAUGGAGAAAGAAUGCUGACCUUGAGUGAGGGCCAUCUGAGUUUGAAUCCUGAAACAGAUACUUGUGAUGUGACUCCAGGUAUGCAUUUUAAAGAAGGACUAGCAUCUCUGGCAUGAGGGCUAGCUAAGCCCUUUUCAGUGCUGCCCAUUUACCUUUGGUGUCCACCUGACACUCAACUCUCACCUGUGGCUUCAUGAAGCUGUAGCAUGUGCAGUGGCUACAUCCUGGGUAUCUAUCUAACAUUGGGAUCUCUAGGACAGCAACAAAUUUCAUUUCCAGAAUGUGUGAAUCAAUUCAUAGUUCCAACAAUAGGGUAUUAGGGUAAGUAUUUCCCAUUAUUCCCUCCAUCUUAAACUAUUUUCA
rnacentral:lncRNA from 1 species